rnacentral:rRNA from 1 species
CCUGCGGAAGGAUCAUUAUCGUACCACAUGUGUGAGGCGUGCGAGGGCUGUCGCUGACUUUUUGACACAAAAGUCGUGCACGCCGGAGCGUGUCCUCUCACAUAAAAUCCAUCUCACCCUUUUGUGCACCACCGCGUGGGCACCUUUUGGGAUCGAACCGAUCCUGGAGGGGGCUUGCGUUUUCACACAAACCCCUUUUAAAAAAGUGUAGAAUGACCCCAUUUUGCGAUGACACGCAAUCAAUACAACUUUCAACAACGGAUCUCUUGGCUCUCGCAUCGAUGAAGAACGCAGCGAAAUGCGAUACGUAAUGUGAAUUGCAGAAUUCAGUGAAUCAUCGAAUCUUUGAACGCACCUUGCGCCCCUUGGUAUUCCGAGGGGCACACCCGUUUGAGUGUCGUGAAAAUCUCAACCUUCUCGGUUUUCUUCUGGACACCGAAGGAGGCUUGGACUUUGGAGGCCUUUGCUGGCAUCUCUCUCUUUUUGAGAGCCAGCUCCUCUUAAACGAAUUAGCGGGGUCCUCUUUGCCGAUCCUCGACAUGUGAUAAGAUGUUUCCAUGACUUGGUUUCUGGCUCUGUUGCCUUUGGGACCCGCUUCUAACCGUCUCUCGACGAGACAA